UAGCAAGCAUCAAAAUAGCGCUAAUAGCUUGAUCUCAUGCCGUUUUUACCGAGUAUCAUCGCAAAAAUAAACACAUCGAUCAGCUGAUUUCAAAGAUUGCAACAGCUGUUCAUGGGCUUUUAUCAAUAUGACGAAGUUCAAGAUGGAUAUAUUUUUACUGGAAACGAUCGUGUGGACCUCUGCAAUGAGCCAGUCAGCGUAGGCUGUGCCAGAGGUGGAGGCGUGGACGUUGCAGUUUCUUGCUCCCUCUUCUGUUCAUUUGCACGUCCUCGUGAUUGUGUAUUCAUAAUGCUGAGACGCUAGAGAACUGGAUCCAUUCUGGCAACAUGAACAAAUGGGACAAACAUCCUAUAGAGGGCCUGUGUGGAGACGUG